CUUUAAUUGAUUAAUUCACCAGGCUGGUUCCCUUUUACAAUGACUCAGCAGUAAUUCUAGUUUUACAAUUGAGAUAAAGAGAGAAAGAGAGACAGAGAUACAGAAUAUUACAAUGUCCAAAAUGAGAAACUAACAGAAUUACAAGUAGUACAGCGUCCUCUAAACAUUUUCAUAGGUUAAACCAUAAAAGCACAGCCCAGUAUUAUAUUCGGCAAUUUCAAUGCCAGUUAAGACAAUAAGCUUUUUUUUUCUUCCAAAUAUACCUCUUUAAAAUAUCUUGAAAUAGAUAUUUAAAUCAAAUUAUCACAUUCAGGCAUAGAACUAAAUAUUUCACAUGCAGAAAGGUUAGAUGGACGAAUGACACUGUUGUGGUCUAUUGGUUUCCUUAUAUUUACUGUCGGCGUGAUCAUGGAUUUGAAUGUCGUGUUGUUUGAGUCAGCAGUAUGUGUCGAUAUCUGUUGUCAGAGCUCUGCAGUGUUGAGCAUAUAUUUAAAAUCAGCUAAAAUGACACGAAGGAUAACAUCUUUUAGGGAUUUUUGUAAGAUGUACUAUUGAAUCUGUUUUAGUCUGCAUGUGUUUCAAGUCAUAUUCAGGAAAAGGAAAAUGUUACAGAUGCAGUUAGUACUCUUGUCACUGUGACAAUAUUGUUCAUUGCGGAAUCACACUUGAUUUCUGAAAUAGCAAAAAAAAAACUAUUUUGGGAGGUAGGGUUGCAACUGAAACCACCAUCACUUAACAGAUGCCCGUGUUGAUGUUCCAGUCAGAACCCCGACACAACACUUCAGCCCAGCCUCCUCUCUCUGUAACAUCCUAUUUUGGGAAAAAAGGUUAAAGAUUGGGAUCCUUGUUCAUUGCUUUGAUCCAGCAAUAUUCCGAUCCUACAUUCAGAAAAAUAGCCUAUUUUUGUUUAUAUUAUUAUUAUUUCACAGCUAGAUAGCAAUGCCCUAGGAGUCACAGGUUCCUAAGACCAACGAUUUGGAUUCCGCCAACAUAAAACCUCUUUCAAGACUUAAUUCAACCAUCUUAAAAAAAAUGAAAGAAAUCAUUCAAAAACAAUCAUUUAACAAAUCCUCUUUUUUUCUCCCUGUACAUUAUACAUCCCAUACAGCAUUGAAAAACUUGUUCACUUCAUACUUGGCCACACCUUAGUCUCUUGGGCAUAAUGGAAAAUAUCUCUGUCUGAACCGCCACAUAUAGCAUACAUAAAGGCUUAUUUCAGUGUGUUGACAGGGAAAGCGUGAAUAAAGUGCAAAAUCUUUACUAAAAGUCUUAAAGACUUGUUGAUAUGUUGGCUCAUCUAUUGUAGUACACUUGCACAGUGGGCCAAGCAAGGUAACACGCCUUCCAGUAAGUUGUUGGGGAAAAUGGAAGCUGGUUUAUUUGAAGUAGUCCUCAGUUAAUUGAUCCUAAGCCUUAUUGAUGAGGCAUGCAAUGUUUUAACGAUAAUAAACAGCAAUCACAUGAGCUUACGAGGAGUUUUUUCUUUUCAGGACCUUUGGGGUGACAAUAUUUUAUUUCAGUCAGUUCACCCCAGACUGGCCCAUAGCUAGCCUCAACUCUGCCUCUCAGAAACAAUUGCUAUGUAAACAGAAAGUUGAGUUUUAACCUCAAAGAGCCAACUCUGAGAAGAUUGUUUUGUCUAUGUAAUUUUAGAGUCAUUAAAUGUCAAUGAUCCGACUACAAAUCAUUUGACAGUAUAAGCUUAGAGAGUUAAACUACGUCUUGUUUACGAUCACAAUACAAUAAGAACAGAACACAAACCCUUUUGAAGACAUAGAAAUGUCGUUAUAGGCUUGUAAAAAAAAAAAAAAGCAGCUCUCUUUAGUAUUUAUUUGUAUAACUAUUGUUAAUACCUUCCAUAACUCUGUUCUGUAGGACUGUGAUCACAUUCAUGGUCAUCCAUGAUCAAUAUCACUGAUAACUGUUCAUUUAAAGUUAAACAAAUCCUUCAUUUUUCUUGUAACUCUAAGUUGGAGGCAAUUGUGGAGAUCAUUAUUUAUAUCAAAUAUUGCGUUAUGCCACAUAUCUUCCAACUUUUGUAUAUAUAAUGAUAAUAACACAUAACGGGGCUUAUCCUAUGACACACAACACAUCCAACAUCACAACAGCUUCCCCCCCAAAAAAGUGCAUUCUUGCUUGGUGCAAAUCCUUGCUUCUUAACAUUCAUAUACGUUCAUUUCUGUUCCUGUGGAUAACUUUGAAUAUAAUCUUUGACAAAUGCGUCCAUUCUUCUCUCCUGUUACUGAUACAGAUCUGCAUCAGAAAUGUAAAUAAUAUCAAAAAAUCGUUGUCUUGUGAUCACAACGUGUUGGGGUGGGAAAUGUUGCAGAGUGUGAAUAUGUGAACUGGUUGGUCCUCAAAGUCUUCCUACGUGACUCAUUUGAGUGGGUUUACCCUGCGUUCGAUCCCUGGUUCAGGUUUGGCUGACGUGCAGCCUGUAAAAUAGCCCAGCCUCCUACCACCACUUGAAAGGCACAUAUGAGCCUCCUCCUUCCACAUCAUCUCAUAUAUAUGAAUGGAAGCAACCAAUAAAAACAAACUCCAUCGCAUAAUAUCCACCCCCCCCGGGAUUGAAAUGAUACGGUCCAAGGUCACUCGCUUUCAUCACUCGGUGAUAUUUAAGACAGGCGCUAUAUUAAGUCGUUGAGACAGGAAAGUUGUGUAUCAUCGCUUUAAAUGUUCACGGUCUAAAAUGCAACAAACGAUCCCUUCAAG
ensembl:lncRNA